GCUGCUGAAGCCGAGAAUGUGAACUUAACCACUCAGCCACAUGGCUGGCCCUUAAAAUAUUUUAUUUUUAGGAGAUCUUAACUCAAAUAUAUGGACAAUCCUAAAUAUGCAUAUUUGUGUUGUAUAUUACUUUUAACUCUUGGAUUAUAAUAAAGUUUUAUUGUUUUUUAUUCAUCCCAUCCCUUUACAGUGUAGAUAUUAGUGCCUUCUCUAUACAAAUUAGGAAAUGGAGUCUCAGAGAAAUUAAAGAACAAGUUUAAGGUGUCACAGCUCUUUCAUUAUAGUGCCAGUGUCUGAGCCCAAGCCAAUCGACCCCAGAGUGACAUCACCCCAUUCAAUUCUAGUCUGAUCCAGAUGCUCACAAGCAACCAGACUGCAGCUGGGGUAUGGGCAGUGCUUAUGGGUUGAAAAGGAGAUCAUGGCCAGUAUCAGACUGUCAAUAAAGCAGGUUGGGAGAAGCUUUAUGAAGCCAACCAACUAGACAGAGUAUACUAAAAAUGGUAAGAUUGUUCAUUUGUAUGGAUUUCUUGUACCCUGAAGAAUGAACUCCUACCUAUCCCUGAGUUAGUCCAGUCUGGGCAAGAAGGCUGGGGACAGUUGGCAUGUGUGAGUGUCUCCUUUGCAGCAGAGCCUCUAACAUCAUCAACAACCACAUCUCAUGUGAUACAGAGAGAUACAAUUUGUAAAUUAAUGCAACAUAAAACUAUCCUGCAGUCUGGUUCAAUUGUCUUGUCGUUUCUGUUUAGUGGACAGGACCAGUAUUAGUACGCUAAUUAUGUAGAUAAGGAAACUGAAAUGCUCAAGAAGUUCCCUGAAUUCCAAGGUCACAAGGUGAUCCUUGGUGCCAGAACCAGUCCCUUGGUUGUCUGAUUUCCAUUCAGCAUUCCUUCUAUCAUUUUUCACUGCCCAUAGAAUGAGCUUUGCUUUCUCUGACUUUUCUUAAUCGCUGCUGUGGGUUUCGUACCACUCCCUCCCUCUCACUAAAUAACUCUCUGCCAAGGCAGAAAUUCCCAUGAAAACACAAAACAAAUGUACCAGAGAGGUUGAUGGUAUAAGAGAUAAAACAGAGAUAAGGAGAAGGCAUGUUGCAAAGCAAUGCCUGUCAGUGCAAAAGAGGAACGGGAUUUAAUGGGAGGAAAGGAAAGGAGAGAAAAUUAAACGCCAUGAGUCUGCUCUGAGGUGGUGAGGAGACCCAACGUUACAUGUGUACCUGAACCUCUUCAACAGGAUGAUCCUGAGAAAUUGUAUAUAGGGCGAGUAAAAGUGGAAUGCACACUGGAAAUUGUCUAGCUGUUGGGAUCCUACUAUGAACCAUUUUCCAAAGUGAAGAAAACGCCCAUGAACCUCUAGUUUGUUUAUGGAGAGGACUUUGGCCAGCUGUACCCACAAAGCUUGAGAAUAUCACGUCUGCAUAUCACAGAAAUGUGAGGCCAAGUGACAGGAAAGAAGCCAAAACUACCUUCCAGAUGACUUCUUCCUACCACACUCCUCCUCCUUAGAGUAAGAGAAUUGUUUUUGGCAGAAUUGGUCUCCCAAACUGGAAGAGCUUCUCUGUAUUUAAUUUCCUCUCAGGAAGUUUACCUUCAGAAGUCCAAGUGUGAGGUCAAGCUUUGGGUUGCCGGAAAUGGUAAUGUCCUUUACUGUCUGAGCACCCAGACGACUCUUAAUGAAACAUCCUACUCUAUGGACAUUGCUGCUGCUGCUGCUGCUGAAUUAUGCAGCCUGCUCUUCUGCAUAUCUCUCCUGCAGUGGCUGGCCUUAUUUCUGCACAGUGCAUGGAUCAGAAUCUGGGGGGAUGCAGACAGCACGCACUGAAAGACCUAAAUGAAUGUGCAGAAGCAAGCCCCAGGCCCAGUUACCACUUGAUUUGGAAAUCGUUUUGGACUGUCCGACACAAUUAUGACUGAAAUCAAGUUUAAGGCCUGUGAGUCUUCGGUGAACAAAAUGGAAAUAAAUGCUGAAAAUUCCCCUGCCUACCUUGAAAGGCUGCCAUGGAGGGAGAGAUUGUUUUUCUGGUUAAGUUUAUCUUUGCAGGUGUUUUCUAGAAGCCUAUAGAGUCAGUCAGUGUGUAUGAGUCAUCCGGCUGUGGUAAGAUUAGAAAUUCCUAAAACAUGAUAUAGGAAUCCAGCAUUUGAGGCAGGGAAAAUGAAGGGGAGCAGCCCUCCAUGGCUUUUAUCACCGCCCCCCCCCCCCCCCCCCUGGUGGCCUCAUUUUCCUUCUUAAGUUUGGGACCCAUGCAGAGAGAGACACCUGUUUUCUAAUCUUUUUCUCCUUUCCUCUAUUUUUUUUCCUUUCCUGGCUCUCCAAAGCCAGGGCAGGUGCUUAUUUAAGUUGAGUGUCUAAAAGAUCAUAAUGAGAAAAUUGACGUUUUGUGUAAAAAUGAUUAAAAGAGGGAGAAGAUGGAAGAGAGACAGAAGGGGUGGAGAUGGGAAAAAGAACUGGGAAGAAGGGGCCUGGAGGGAGGGGAGCAGGAGGGGGGACUCUGAGCCUGCAGAGAUGGAUGGGGAAAAAGUCUGUGUUUAUUUAAAAGACUAACUGGGGGCAUGGCUAAAUUUUGCUUUUCUAUUUGGCCAUGCCAUGACUAAGGAAAACAAAGGCUAUUGCAGCUGCUGCUUCAGGAAAAGGCAAUCACUGCCAUUCACCUAAUUUAAAUUUUAAGAUGUUUAGAUGUUAAAAAUCUGCCAGAGCACAGUUUCUGUACUUUAGAAAUGGCUCAGUAGCUCAGAGCCCGUGAGAAGCUGGCCCUACGUGUUCUCUACUCCACAAUGCUCUUAGAUGACCGGUAAGUUUGGGUGACAACAGUGUUUCCACUGCCCGUUCAAAACUCUCCUUGGCCUGCUUUCCGGAAGCAGAGUACUACAUUGCAUAAUUAACAAUGAAAACGAGCAGCUUAAAUGCCUUUUCUCUGCAGAGGUCAGAUGCUCCCAUUUAUCUACUAAAUACCACUCUAUCCCUCAGCGUCCAGGAGUGAAAGAACCUGGACAAAUAAGUCAAGUUAAUUUCUUAAACGUGCUGCCAGAGUCCUUUCUGCUCUGUUACUUUUACUUUGAGGACACCUAGUGGCAGUUUAUAGGCAGCGUUCUUCAAGGCAAACCGAAAGAAACUUCAGGAUGUAGUAACUGUGGAGAAACGCUUACAACCGGACUUGCCGUUAGCCCGAAGACAAAAGAAGUGAGUAGAUUUUCCUUCCUUUUGUUUCUCUACUGCUGUGGAUGGGCCAGCGCCAGAUUCUGGAGCCAAAUUCCCACUCCCGCCUUUCACCGUCAUCAAACAAAAUUCCCGUGGCCUAGAUGUUUCACAAGUGGUUUUUAAUGAGCUCAUUGUUUAUUUGACACCAAUGACGACCUUUUAAAGACCACAGAAUGGCCACAAUCGGGUCAAUUCGUCAAUUAAUAAACAAACAUUGAUAGUGUGCCGUGGGCCGACAUUUUGAGGGGAUACAAAGAUGAGAUGGAUUCUAAGUGAAAGGGAAUCUUUUUCCCUUUACCUCUGGUGAUGAAGUCUCCUUCACAGCUGUGUCCUCAGAGCCAAUGACCUAAUCUCUUUGACUCUCCUUCUCCUCUUCUGUAAAAUGGAGGUGAUUGUGAAGAUUAUAUGAAAACCAGGACAACCUGCUUGGUGCCUGGUAUCUGGUAGAUACCGAAUAACAGUUAAGAUACUUCUCUCUCUACUGCCUUCCCCUACCCCAUACCUAGAAUGUGUUCUUUGCUGUAGCUGUCGUCUGGACAGAAGUGCUCACCGCUGCACAGAACUCUGCCAAGGCCACUCUGAGGCAUCACAUCUGAGUCCUGGGAGCUAAACACACCCACAGUUGUGGUUCUCCCUUGCAAUUCGGAUCUACUGGCUUGCCCUGGAUCCAUCUUACAACCCUGUUCUAUUGAAUCAAGAUCUGGAUGACACAUUGUCUUGGCAGUUGCAAAGCUCCCAGACGUCCUUCUAGUUCCCGGUUGGACAGUGAACACCUGCGCCCUCCAGCUGAAGAGCAACGUGGAAAGUCUGGAUUAGAGGAAGGAGCGCUGUUUGUUCCCUGCACAUAUUUUCAGGGUCUAAGCACAGUCAGCGCCAUCUGAAGUUUGGUUCAGCAGAAUUGAGGAAAUCUUGGCCUCCACAAAGAAGAAAAGUCCUAAACUGGAAAAGUGUUAAAACUACAGAACUCCAAAACAUACUUAAUCCUGGUGUGAUGCACGAAACAGGACUAAGAAAAGGGCCUGAACUCAAUGAAGAGUGGAAAUGCAAUUGGCAAAACUCUAAUACAAAGGCCUAAUUGAGAAUCCUACGAGGGUGUUUCCAGGGUAUUCUACAGGCCUCUUCACCAUGCCAACAUGAGAGAGCAGGGAACAGAAUGGGCGCUGCAGUGCUCCUGGGUGACCACUUCCUCCCCGACUGGAGAAGGUGAUGGCUGAGUCAACUGUUGACCUGAAAGCAAUAUCAAAAUGGCUAUUGUGCAGUACCAGUUUAUCAACUGUUCAAUGGAGAGAACUCGCUGAAGACUGUUGGAUUCAGUGGCAUGUAAGAUACCCGGGAAGUAGAGAAGACUGGUGGAAGUGAAUCAUUUGGAAUCCUAAAGAGCAGCCAGAUGUCCCUUCUUCAUACAGGGUCCGGAUAAUCUCUGCAGCUUUAAGAACUUUUCAAGAGAAAUAAUUUGUGAAGCUCAGUGGUGUUCAAAACAGGAUGCUACAUUUUUGUGGUCGUAUUUUGUAUUUCCUAGAAAGCAGGAAAAACUAAGACUGAAAUCUAUAAUAUCACGAUCUGUAUCAUACAUUCUCUUUUUCUGGAUCUUUUCCCAUUCUGGCAGGAAAGUGAAAUGACACUGAGACAUUCUCAGAAUGUAUGGAAUAGUAAUUUCUUACUAAUUUAAUGGUUGUUCAGUUAGAUCAUGGGGUAGCAAGCUUUUCUUUUGCAUCUUGAAUGUUACUUUACCUGUUGACAUGGCACCAUUCUUAAAGUCACAGACUCACGUAGGAUUUAUUCAUUUAGUAGUGUAAGGUGGGGUCGAUCAUCAGUCCUUUUCAAAUCUCACUCUCUCUUUCUUCCAUCUGCUUAUUUUCUUAUUCUGAGGUUCCCUUUUUCUUAUUAAUACUACCACUCAUCCUGGUCAACUGUAUUCGAAGUCUGUGGAGCAUUUUGACUAUCCCUACCCUAGAUGAUUUCUCCAUCAAGCAGCGUCUCUUUCCACAGUCGCACAUCUGUCUCCCUCCUUUCUGUUUUGUUUCCUCUAGCCUGAACCAGAGUGUUGUUAGUCUUUCGUCUUUCCUGUCACCAGUACAAGCUACACGCUGUCCUUUAAUAAAUCAUUCUGAAGAUCGAGACUAAUUGUAUCACUCUAUAGCUCAAAAACUUUCAAUAGUGUGAGGUGCUUAAAAGGAAGAAGAAAUAGAAGGAGAGGAGGAGGUGGAGGAAAAAGAGGAAAAAGAAGCAGGAAGUUGCCAGUGAAACAAAAUAAAAAGCUAAGAAAUUUUACUAUAUAUAAGAAUUGAACAUAAAGUACUGCUGGUAUGUCAAAUCAAUGGAAACUAUAUUUCAUGCAGUAGUAGCGCAUACUUGUUUUAAAAUAUUUAAAUUGAAUUUUUACCUUCCAGCAUACAACAAAAUAACUUUCAGAUUGAUCAGAAUAUUAAUCUAAAAAAAUUCCUAAAAAACUGGAAAGAUAUCAGAAAUAAAUAUUUAAUGUCAAGAUUAGAAGACUUUUCUAAAUAAAAAAAGCAAAACAAGAAAAAGAUUAAACAUAACAUAAGCAUUAAAAGUCCAGUAAGAACUCAUUCUCAAAAUCCAAAGCAAAUGGCCACCGAGAAAAAAAUAUUUCCAAGAUAUAUGACAUUCAAAGUCUGAAACCUGAGUGUAUUUAAAAUAUCAGUAUUUCUCACAAAUCAGCAGAGAAAAGAGCGCCCCAAUAGAAAGAAUCUGCAAAGAUUAUGGAGAGAGAAUUCACAAAAGAAUAGAAAUGAUCUAUAUCAUGAAAAGAAAGACAUCAAACUUAUUGGACUUUUUUCUUUUGUAUGUUCUUCCAUUGUUUUAAACUUAUGAAAUCCCUCCCUAUUUCAGGAUUGGCCAGUCAUUCUUUUUCUAGUUCAUGUUUUCAGUUUGCAUUUAAUAUUUUAAUUCACUCAAUUUAUUCGGAGGUAUGCUCUGAGAUAUUAGAGCCAAUUCAAUUGUUAUCUUUCCCUCCUUGCUAGAUUGUAAGCUCUUUGAGGGCAGGAGCAACGUGCUGUUUAUUUCUGUGGACCCUGAAGCAUGUGACAAACGUAUGAUGGACAAGAAUCAACAAGGAGGGGUGAAGAGGGGGGAUCAGAGAAGUUCUGAGAGAGGAGGCAUCUUUUGAGGUUAGUCUUAAAAAGUCUAAAAUAUUUUCAAGAUUUUGUCUUUUUUUUCCCCCCUUUCCUUUUGUGUGUCUCUUUUGGGUUAAUCGUGGCUUAAAGGCAACGUAACAUGACAUAAGAGAAAAGGGUUCUGAAGAAAGGCAAGUGAGGGAGGAUUCAAAUAUUGAUGCCACGAAUCACUUAUGUCACUCUGAGCCUCAAUUCCUCACCUUUAAAAUAGAUAUACUGAUCACUACUUGCACGGUUGUUAAGGAGAUAAAAUCCCAGGUUUGUAAGGUGAUCAGCGUACUGGUUCUAUUCUCUUUGUACUCCUCAGUUUUUUUGAUAUUCUGUAAGGGACACUGUGCAUCUCUUAGCCUCUUUCUCUGUAGUGAAGUAAAACUGUGGUAGUGGGGCCGGCUCCGUGGCCGCUCCGCUGCGGCGGCCCAGGGUUCGGAUCCUGGGCGCGGACAUGGCACCGCUCGUCAGGCCACGUUGAGGCGGCAUCCCACAUCCCACAACUAGAAGGACAUGCAACUAAAAUAUACAAGUGUGUACAGGGGGGGUUUGGGGAGAUUAAAAAAAAGCAGAAAAAAACCCCCAAAAAACAAAAAAAACUGUGGUAGUAUUUAUGAAAACAUCUUGUAACAUGGGAUUUUUCUCACAGCAUAAAGUACUAUUAAUUAAGUUUUUUGGUACAUAUUUAAGUGUAAAUUGCUUGUUAUGCUUUUGUUAAUGAUAAAUGGAAUGUAAGUGAUGUUUGAGUGAAACGGUUCAGAGUAGAUAAACAGAGGUAAGACAACAGAACAAGGUUAAGUGUGAAAAACAGAUAACCAAAAACAAUUCUAAUUUGUUCGAGUCACUCAGUAGAAAUGGCUUGGACUGGGGGGUCAGGCAAACAUGAGUUGGAGUCUCGCCCUGCGAUAAACUCUCUGUGGUACCUUUGGCAAGUUACUUGCCCUCAUUGAGACUCGGUUUCUCCACCUAUCAAGCUGGGAUUGAUAACAUUCCCACAGCAGGGGUGUUGUGAAGACCAACGAGAUGAGUAAAUGAAAGCAUAUGGCACACACUUGACGUUUGAUACAUGCUUCUUUUUUUGCUUCUUUUCUUUUCCCUCAAAGACUAAAUAGCAAGCCUGAUUCACCAUAACACCUCUGGGCAUUUAUGUGUUUAAAAGACAUGAAUAUGUUUUCUUAAGUACCCAACCAACUACCAGCGAGUGCCUUAGGCCUCAGGGAGAAUAGAUCUCACUUUUACAAAUGCGUUCAGACUUGAUCCCCUUGUUUAUACAAGGAUUUUUGGAUCCAUGUAUGUCUCAUGACACAGUCUAAACCUCCAUGCAUACUCAGUUAAUCAUCCAGAUUUGUCUUGCAGGCACACAGCCAUCAUUUUUGCUCUUGUGAAGACUGAGAACAUUGUGUACUUUUUCCUUUGUUUCAGGGGGCUAUCGUUCGUUGUUAUCGCUGCCUACUUUUUAAAUUUUGUGAGCUGUAAAAUGUAGUACUAUAUAUUCCUGAGUCUUUUUUUCCCACUGAGAGUAUUUAAGUUGAAUGUUUCUUUAAUAGUCUGGGAGGGAUGAUGCUGGUAAUAAAACAAAGCAUCGAAAUUUAAAAAAUAAGCAGUACAUUUAUAGCAAUUAUGUAGGGAUGUUAUUAGUGAAUAAAUACAGUAUUACAGAAUAAUAUAUCUAGGGUGAAAAAAUGCUAAUCACUAUAACCAAGCAAUUUUUUCUAGUUCUUUUUGUUUUUUAAUAAAAGAAUGCUUAUAUUUUAGAAUGACUAAAGCAUGGCCAACUAUAUUUGCAUCAGUUAUUUCAUGUAAUAAGAUAUAGCAGAGUAUUUACAUUGCUACUCUGUCUUUAAAAUUGUUAGUUAAGGAAAAUGAUUCCAGCCUCUCUUAUAGUCUCUCUAGAUAUGGCCUUGAAUGAAAAGAGGCAGCACCCUUUUCUCCCAUGAUAAAAUAUUCUCCACAUAAAAUUUUCCCUUCCUUUCCUAGGCUAUGGAGAUGUGGGUUUGCUGUUUCCUUUACCUGUAUGUCCUGAGUCAUAACUAUCUUGCUAGAAUAAAUAAUUUAACAAUUAA